AAAAAACAAAAUGGCCGAAAAACAAGAUGGCCGCCAUACAAAUUUUUGUUUUUCCAGAAAAUGUCUCAGAGGUAAAAUUGAUGUAUAGGGGUGUGAUCGGAACGUCAUCUUGGAAAACUGCUCCGCAUCACGGAGACACCCUACGGCCUGGCAAAACUAUAGCACCUAGAACUUUUUUGAUUUCACGAGUCCUAUUUAAAUCUUGGUCAAAUUUUAUC